CAGUCGAACGAACUCUGGUAUUGAUUGGUGCUUGCAUCAUGAUUUACAUUUGAGUGAGUGGCGAACUGGUGAGUAACACGUGGGAAACCUGCCCAGAAGCGGGGGAUAACACCUGGAAACAGAUGCUAAUACCGCAUAACAACUUGGACCGCAUGGUCCGAGUUUGAAAGAUGGCUUCGGCUAUCACUUUUGGAUGGUCCCGCGGCGUAUUAGCUAGAUGGUGGGGUAACGGCUCACCAUGGCAAUGAUACGUAGCCGACCUGAGAGGGUAAUCGGCCACAUUGGGACUGAGACACGGCCCAAACUCCUACGGGAGGCAGCAGUAGGGAAUCUUCCACAAUGGACGAAAGUCUGAUGGAGCAACGCCGCGUGAGUGAAGAAGGGUUUCGGCUCGUAAAACUCUGUUGUUAAAGAAGAACAUAUCUGAGAGUAACUGUUCAGGUAUUGACGGUAUUUAACCAGAAAGCCACGGCUAACUACGUGCCAGCAGCCGCGGUAAUACGUAGGUGGCAAGCGUUGUCCGGAUUUAUUGGGCGUAAAGCGAGCGCAGGCGGUUUUUUAAGUCUGAUGUGAAAGCCUUCGGCUCAACCGAAGAAGUGCAUCGGAAACUGGGAAACUUGAGUGCAGAAGAGGACAGUGGAACUCCAUGUGUAGCGGUGAAAUGCGUAGAUAUAUGGAAGAACACCAGUGGCGAAGGCGGCUGUCUGGUCUGUAACUGACGCUGAGGCUCGAAAGUAUGGGUAGCAAACAGGAUUAGAUACCCUGGUAGUCCAUACCGUAAACGAUGAAUGCUAAGUGUUGGAGGGUUUCCGCCCUUCAGUGCUGCAGCUAACGCAUUAAGCAUUCCGCCUGGGGAGUACGGCCGCAAGGCUGAAACUCAAAGGAAUUGACGGGGGCCCGCACAAGCGGUGGAGCAUGUGGUUUAAUUCGAAGCUACGCGAAGAACCUUACCAGGUCUUGACAUACUAUGCAAAUCUAAGAGAUUAGACGUUCCCUUCGGGGACAUGGAUACAGGUGGUGCAUGGUUGUCGUCAGCUCGUGUCGUGAGAUGUUGGGUUAAGUCCCGCAACGAGCGCAACCCUUAUUAUCAGUUGCCAGCAUUAAGUUGGGCACUCUGGUGAGACUGCCGGUGACAAACCGGAGGAAGGUGGGGAUGACGUCAAAUCAUCAUGCCCCUUAUGACCUGGGCUACACACGUGCUACAAUGGAUGGUACAACGAGUUGCGAACUCGCGAGAGUAAGCUAAUCUCUUAAAGCCAUUCUCAGUUCGGAUUGUAGGCUGCAACUCGCCUACAUGAAGUCGGAAUCGCUAGUAAUCGCGGAUCAGCAUGCCGCGGUGAAUACGUUCCCGGGCCUUGUACACACCGCCCGUCACACCAUGAGAGUUUGUAACACCCAAAGUCGGUGG
rnacentral:rRNA from 4 species